AUCACUUCUCAUCCUUUUGGCUAAGAUCAAGUGUAGUAUUUGUUCUUAUCAGUUGAAAGUGGUGAGGAUGAAAACAGUACACAUGUCUAAUCCCUUUAGACAAGCAAGUCUAAAGCUUUCUCAUUUAGUUUGUACAACACUCACUAUCUAUACAGUGCCAUGUGCUAUUAUUACAAGUGUAAAGAUAU